AUUGAACGCUGGCGGCAGGCUUAACACAUGCAAGUCGAGCGGAGCGAGGGUGCUUGCACCUUAGCUUAGCGGCGGACGGGUGAGUAAUGCUUAGGAAUCUGCCUAUUAGUGGGGGACAACAUUCCGAAAGGGAUGCUAAUACCGCAUACGCCCUACGGGGGAAAGCAGGGGAUCUUCGGACCUUGCGCUAAUAGAUGAGCCUAAGUCGGAUUAGCUAGUUGGUGGGGUAAAGGCCUACCAAGGCGACGAUCUGUAGCGGGUCUGAGAGGAUGAUCCGCCACACUGGGACUGAGACACGGCCCAGACUCCUACGGGAGGCAGCAGUGGGGAAUAUUGGACAAUUGGGGGAACCCUGAUCCAGCCAUGCCGCGUGUGUGAAGAAGGCCUUUUGGUUGUAAAGCACUUUAAGCGAGGAGGAGACGCUCUAGGAUAAUACCCUAGAUGCGUGGACGUUACUCGCAGAAUAAGCACCGGCUAACUCUGUGCCAGCCGCCGCCGUAAAAC
rnacentral:rRNA from 1 species